GAAUCGCGAUAGGAAUUGCGAAUUGCAGAAUUCAGUGAAUCAUCGUAACUUUGAACGCAAACUGCGCUUCGGGGUUGACCCGGAGCAUGCCUCUUUGAGUGUCGGUCAAAUCCUCCUGGAUUCUUCCAGGGACGUGAGAGUCGAGAGUCUCUCCAAGUAUGAGCGCGCGGUUUCGGCCGCUUCCUGACGCCUUGCUGGUGCUAUUUGAAUGGAGAUGACAAUUUUCAUGCAACUGUUCUUGGCUGGCUAUGGAUUUGCGAUCAGUUUGCUUGCAAACACACGCUUGACCAUCGACCUCAAAUGAGGUAAGAUUACCCGCUGAACUUAA
rnacentral:misc_RNA from 1 species